AAUAUUAGAGCUUAAUGAUGAUGUUGAAAGUCACCCAAUUUGCCUAUAAAUAGGCUUCCCAUUGCUUAGCAAAACACGCCAAAGGAGAAGAAAGGAAAGGAAGGAAGAGUGAGAGGAAACAAAAGAGAGUGAGUUCUAUCUAAGAGGAAAUUCUGUCAAUGUAAACAUCACAAGAGCAAAUACAAUUUUACUCGUAAUAUUCAGUGAUACUUUUCUCUAUUAUUUUAUUUUUAUAACACGUUAUUAGCACGAUAGUCUCUCAUCUUCACUUCUAAAUUUUUCCAACUCAACACUAUGUGGUUAUUUC
rnacentral:lncRNA from 1 species